UUACGGGAGGCAGCAGUAGGGAAUCUUCCGCAAUGGACGAAAGUCUGACGGAGCAACGCCGCGUGAGUGAUGAAGGCUUUCGGGUCGUAAAACUCUGUUGUUAGGGAAGAACAAGUACGAGAGUAACUGCUCGUACCUUGACGGUACCUAACCAGAAAGCCACGGCUAACUACGUGCCAGCAGCCGCGGUAAUACGUAGGUGGCAAGCGUUAUCCGGAAUUAUUGGGCGUAAAGCGCGCGCAGGCGGUUUCUUAAGUCGGAUGGGAAAGCCCACGGCUCAACCGUGGAGGGUCAUUGGAAACUGGGGAACUUGAGUGCAGAAGAGAAAAGCGGAAUUCCACGUGUAGCGGUGAAAUGCGUAGAGAUGUGGAGGAACACCAGUGGCGAAGGCGGCUUUUUGGUCUGUAACUGACGCUGAGGCGCGAAAGCGUGGGGAGCAAACAGGAUUAGAUACCCCAGUAGUC
rnacentral:rRNA from 1 species